UCAGGCAUCCUCCUGGUUCUCAUUCCAAUAAAUAAUGAUGGAACAGAUCUCAUGUAGAGCUGCAGUAGAAUAUAACUGAUCUCAUGUAGAGCUGCAAUAGACUAGAACAGAUCUUAUGUAGAGCUGCAGUAGACUAGAACUGAUCUCAUGUAGAGCUGCAGUAGAAUAUUACUGAUCUCAAGUAGAGCUGCAAUAGACUAGAACAGAUCUUAUGUAGAGCUGCAGUAGACUAGAACUGAUCUCAUGUAGAGCUGCAGUAGAAUAUUACUGAUCUCAAGUAGAGCUGCAAUAGACUAGAACAGAUCUUAUGUAGAGCUGCAGUAGACUAGAACUGAUCUCAUGUAGAGCUGCAGUAGAAUAUAACUGAUCUCAUGUAGAGCUGCAGUAGAAUAGAACUGAUCUCAUGUAGAGCUGCGGUAGAUCAACACCACGGGGAUCAUGAACCAACACUGUGAAGCUCGGCCGCGAUAUUGAACUUGUCUCUAUAACGGUUGACUGUAUGACUCGCGGUUAGUUUCAUACACAGUUCCGUUUCAGGUGUGCUUAGAGAAUCUGCAUUGUACGGGAAACAGUCUCACCACUUUAUGGCAACGUUUGGGGAACUCUGAUGCUGUAUGUUGUAUUUAUAAACUGAAGUUUUUGCAGGAAAUAAAGUCUGAUUGAAGUAUAUUCAAUAUAAAUAUUGAAUAUGUUUCUAUACUUGUGGACUCUAAAUAAGGCUGAUUUCAAGUAGGGGGUUUUCAGCAGCAGAAUCCUGUGUGCUUCAGUAUUUCUAAUACUCAGUUCGUUCUGCUCCGAAUCUGCAUAAUAACAGAGUGUAUUGAACACACUGGGGCUCGGGAUGCAUGUGUGCACAUAUUUAUCAGCGUUAACAAUAUAUAGGCUGAGGGAAAGCACCGCAUUGAGGGUUUACCCGCUCCCCACUCCAACACAAUAUCCAAAAAUAAUGAGAAAUUGGCAACACAGCGAAAACCGUAGAUAUGUAAAUAUAUACUCUCUCUCAAGAACCUCUUCGCUGCGUUUCUGCGUCUUGCUUUCUGUAUUACCCUGUGAACAUCCGGACCCCAGGGGGAACCAGCCCUAUACACACGGUCCCCAGGGGCCACUAAGCCCGCCGUCCCAAGGGCCGGCUCUGGUUCCUCCGGAGAACCCAGAACCAACACAUUCCUGGUCCUACAAUCAUCGUUCUGGAGAACUCCUGCCAUCCGACUUAUCUGUCCUUUCUCUGUCUUACUGUCUGACUGUCUGACUGCUUGCCUGUCUGUCUGUCUGUCUGUCUGUCUGUCUGUCUGUCUGUCUGUCUGUCUGUCUGUCUGUCUGUCUGUCUGUCUGGCUGUCUGUCUGUCUGUCUGUCUGUCUGUCUGUCUGUCUGGCAGUCUGUUUUUCUGUCUGUCUGGCUGUCUGUCUGGCCUUCUGUCUGGCUGUCGGUCUGACUGGCCUUCUGUCUGGCUGUCGGUCUGACUGUCUGUCUGUUUGCCUGUCUGGCUGUCGGUCUGACUGGCUGUCCGACUGUCUGUCUGGCUGGCCUUCUGUCUGGCUGGCCAUCUGUCUACUUGCUUUGACUCACGUUCUGACGUUCCCAAACCUCCUUGCUAUAGUCUUCUCCAUCCAGCUCCACUUCCUGGCUCCUGUCCGCGUUCGGCAGGGGAACCGACUUCUUAAUCUCUCUUUCUUCUGUAUCUUCUCUUCCACUGUCAAGAAAUGCCCUGUGAACUCGUUGGAGGGAGAUUUCCUCCUCAUAUCCUUUUUCCAACUUCCUCAGAUAACUGGGAGUUUACUGUGUGCUGUGUGUGUGUGUGUGUGUGUGUUGAUGUGCUUGAGGGUGUGUGUGUGUGUGUGUUUUUGAAUGUUUUAAUGUGCGGAUGUAUUGUGUGUGUGUGUGUGUGUGUGUGUGUGUGUGUGUGUGUGUGUGUGUGUGUGUGUGUGUGUGUGUGUGUGUGUGUUUUUUU
ensembl:lncRNA